CACCAUCCUAGCAAUGAAAUCCUCAUAGCGGAUUUUCCCAUCCGAACCGACAUCUACUUCCCGGAUCCAUUCAUCGAACUCGGAUGGCUCGAGCUUCUCUCCAAUAUUAGUCAAAAUGUGGCGCAGAUCCACAACGGAAACGAACCCAGUGGAGUCCUUGUCGAGCACCUUGAAGGCGUCGCGGAGCUGGCGAUCGAAGGGCUCGGGUUUCAUGUGCUUAGCCAUGAGAUCGAGGAAUCUGGGAAAAUCGAAAGGAGCGUUUAGGUUUUCCUCGGCGAUAAUGGCCUUGAGUUGGGCCUGGGUGGGG
rnacentral:misc_RNA from 1 species